rnacentral:rRNA from 1 species
AACGAACGCUGGCGGCAUGCCUAACACAUGCAAGUCGAACGAGACCUUCGGGUCUAGUGGCGCACGGGUGCGUAACGCGUGGGAAUCUGCCCUUAGGUACGGAAUAACUCAGGGAAACUUGAGCUAAUACCGUAUAAUGACUCCGGUCCAAAGAUUUAUCGCCUAGGGAUGAGCCCGCGUCGGAUUAGCUAGUUGGUGAGGUAAAAGCUCACCAAGGCGACGAUCCGUAGCUGGCUGAGAGGAUGAUCAGCCACACUGGGACUGAGACACGGCCCAGACUCCUACGGGAGGCAGCAGUGGGGAAUAUUGGACAAUGGGCGGAAAGACCUGAUCCAGCAAUGCCGCGUGAGUGAUGAAGG